rnacentral:rRNA from 1 species
UGGGGGAUAUUGCACAAUGGGCGAAAGCCUGAUGCAGCGACGCCGCGUGGGGGAUGAAGGCUUUCGGGUUGUAAACCUCUUUCGCUAUCGAACAAGGCCCGCUUAGGGUGGGUUGAGGGUAGGUGGAGAAGAAGCGCCGGCUAACUACGUGCCAGCAGCCGCGGUAAUACGUAGGGCGCGAGCGUUGUCCGGAAUUAUUGGGCGUAAAGGGCUUGUAGGCGGCUUGUUGCGCCUGCUGUGAAAACGCGGGGCUUAACUUCGCGCGUGCAGUGGGUACGGGCAGGCUUGAGUGUGGUAGGGGUGACUGGAAUUCCAGGUGUAGCGGUGGAAUGCGCAGAUAUCUGGAGGAACACCGAUGGCGAAGGCAGGUCACUGGGCCGUUACUGACACUGAGGAGCGAAAGCGUGGGGAGCGAACAGG